rnacentral:rRNA from 1 species
CUAGGAUUAGAUACCCUAUUAUUUAAAAUGUAAAAACUAAAGUAUUAAUAGAUAUGAUCUUUAAACUUAAAAAAUUUGGCGGUAUUUUAGUCUAUUCAGAGGAACCUGUUUUAUAAUCGAUAAUCCACGUUGGACCUUACUUUAAUUUAUUAAUUAGUUUAUAUACCGUCGUUAUAAAAAAUUUUAUAAGAAUAAUAAUUUUUAAAAUUUUAUAUCAGAUCAAGGUGUAGCUUAUAUUAAAGAAAAUAAUGGGUUACAAUAAAAUUAUUUAUAUGAAUAUAAAAAUGAAAAAUUUAUUGAAAGAGGAUUUGAAAGUAAAAUUAAAUAGAUUUUUAAUUUGAUUUUAGCUCUAAAAUAUGUACAUAUCGCCCGUCACUCUUAUUAUUAAAAUAAGAUAAG